GACGAACGCUGGCGGCGUGCUUAACACAUGCAAGUCGAACGUAAAGGCCCUGCUUGCAGGGUACUCUAGUGGCGAACGGGUGAGUAACACGUGGGUGAUCUGCCCUGCACUUCGGGAUAAGCCUGGGAAACUGGGUCUAAUACCGGAUAUGACCUUCCAUGUAGUGUUGGGGGUGGGAAGAUUUGUCGGUGUGGGAUGAGCCCGCGGGCUAUCAGCUUGUUGGUGGGGUAGUGGCCUACCAAGGCGUCGACGGGUAGCCGGCCUGAGAGGGUGGACGGCCACAUUGGGACUGAGAUACGGCCCAGACUCCUACGGGAGGCAGCAGUGGGGAAUAUUGCACAAUGGGCGGAAGCCUUAUGCAGCGACGCCGCGUGGGGGAUGACGGCUUUCGGGUUGUAAACCUCUUUCGACAGGGACGAAGCUUCGGUGACGGUACCUGUAGAAGAAGCACCGGCUACCUACGUG
rnacentral:rRNA from 1 species